GAGAGCCGGAUGCUCGGAAACGGGCACGUCCGGUUCGGGGGAAGGCCGAGCGGAAAAGGACCAGCACCACGCUGGCACCUCGCCGCUCGGCCAAUCCUAC
rnacentral:ncRNA from 1 species